rnacentral:lncRNA from 1 species
AUGGUGGAAGAACAUUUUAUUUUCCUUGAGUGUCAUAACCUAUCUGAUGAUGUAAAUCUGGACAGUGGUAUAAGCGAACCGUCGGAAAUGGCGGUACCCAUCAUUGUUCUGAGCGGAGAUCAAGAUAGAGCGAAGGCUCCUAGGCUCCCGCCCCAUUUCGUGUUGUGCGAAACCGACAAUUGUUCGCACAGAAAGAAACAUAGGAAAUCCUAAUGUGUCGCAUGCUCGCAAACCGGGUGUUACGGAAUGUAGUUUAUACGUUUUUUAUGUACUUGGCAUGAUUUUCGCGCUAUCUUGUUCACAUAAAAAGGGAAAAGGGCCCAUUGGCCCAUGCCUCCUAAUACCCUCCUCCGUGCGACAGCCCAAACGUAUGUCCAAAAUGACUCGUUCAUUGACCGUUAUAUCGUUGGAAUUAUUGAACAACAGUUGUCAGAAAAUUUUGAAUAGUAAAUAUUGGGACAGGAAAAACUAUAAUUAAUGAAUCAGUUAACUACGAGUAAUGAAUCGCACUUACUCGAGCAAAAAAUCGAGCAAGACAACGGCUGCGUGACUGUCAAGAGGUCUCGUGAAAUGUUCGUGCACAGAAACGCCUUCAUCUGAGAGAAUAGGCAAAACGACUGCUUAGGAGCUCGAAUAGUGGUAUCUCAUGAAUUGACCGAGACGAGCUUCUUCUGAGCAGGGACUUACUACACUACCGUACUAUGAAGAAAUCUCAAACGAGCAUUCCAAUGUUGCCGAAUUUUGAUUCUUGGACGAAAUAGUUCCGGCCAAUGGAUUGAAUUGCGAAUAGGUCACAAAUAUGUUAAAGAAUUCACAAGUUUUCCGGGAAGUAUUUCAUCAGUAAAAAUUUGGUAAGGUCCAAAUUUUCAGUCGAGGUAAAGCGAAAAGUCGAAUUAAAAUGAUUCCGGGACUAUUCGCCUAAAGAAUAAUCACCUACACUGAAAAAAAGUUCUGUUGUCACAAACCAGAAUUCUGGUUGUAUUUCGGAACCAGAUUUUCUGGUUGAUUCAACCAGAAUUACAGUUGACUCAACCAGACGUCUGGUUGACUCUACCAAAUUCUGGUUGAGUCAACUGUAAUUCGAGUUAAAUCAACCAGAAAAUCUGGUUCCGAAAUACAACCAGAAUUCUGGUUUGUGACAACAGAACUUUUUUUCAGUGUACGGGAUUUUUAUCCUCGGACAUUUCACCUAAGACUUUUCACCUACGUAUUUUUGGCCUAAAGAAAGUUUCAUUUAUAGCAUUUUUCACCGACACGGAAUUCUCACCGACAGGGUUAUUGACCUACAGAAAAAUUUGGCCUAAAUACAUUUUGACGAAGAAACGAAGGUACUCCCAUGGCAACAUUGACAUUUUGCCAAACAGCUGAUGAAAAUAGCUGAAGAAAAUUUUCUUCUUAGUUAGUUCUAUUUCAAUAGGUUAAGUAAUAAAUCGGAGAAAAUUAUUAAAAUGUAUCGAUUAAAAUGAAUAUGUUGAACCGAAAUUAAAGGUCCAGCCGUAACUAGAUUGUGAAAUACUGAAUAUGUGAGAACGCACUUUUUUGCUUUUUUCAAACGAAUGAGUUUUCAUCCAAUGGUCACAGUGAAAGUGAUUGAAACUUAUCAUUUUAUCGCAUCGUUUUUCUUUAUGUAAUUUGGUUACAAUUCUGGAUUUUUUCUGAAGCGGACCAGCCUAACAUCCUGGAAGGCAAUGACAAUACCUGAUUCUUAGCCCAACUAUUCACGCAGGAACCAGAGUUUCAAAAAAAAUUUGAAGGUCCCAGUCAAUAUUUUUAAGGAAGAUAAUAGAGCUCCUUCCUGUCUUUUUUAACCUCUCUCCUUUAUCAGGUGAAGCAACCUGUGUGCGUACGUUUUUUUUUAAGAAAUUUCGUAGAGCUCCUUACGGUCUUUUGUUAACCUUCCCCCUUAUCAGGAGGAACAACCUCUCUCCUCAAGCCCGCAUCCGGCAAAAUUUGGAGCUGGCCCGUUCUUGAUAACGGAUGUUUUCAAUGUGUCAUGCAUUUUCACGUAUUGCUAUCUAAACCUAUUCUGAUGAAUACAUUCAGAAAAUUUGAAUGCAAGCCAUAAAAUAAUCAAUUUCAAGAGGCUACAAAAUAAAAAUUGGUCUUUCUUUACCUUGGGGUAUUGUGAAUUUUGAGAAAACUACGCUAGAGACUCAAGUUUAUCUUGAUGAACUCACCUGAAACAAAAGAAGAAAACACUUCUAGUAUAAACGGAAUUUAAAAUUAUGCAUGAUAGAUGAAGAAAUCUUGAGAGCCCCCUUGAGGUGGAUCUUACAACAGCCAUUUUAAACGUGAUUCAUUAAUUGAUAUAUUUUCUCGAGUUCGAGACGUUAUUCAAAAAAUCCUGAAAAUCACAUUAUGCUCCAGUCGGCCGAAAAUUAACAUACCAAGCUCGAUCAGGGAGGAUUUGGAAAUCAUUAAAAAAAUAGGUCCUGAAGGCACGAUGCUGAUCUGAACCAUCGAAGGUUUGCAAAUUCAGGUUGCAGGUUGAUUUUGAAGCAGAAUUUGGGAACCUCCUGUCAACC